rnacentral:rRNA from 1 species
GAUGAACGCUGGCGGCGUGCCUAAUACAUGCAAGUCGAGCGAACAGACGAGGAGCUUGCUCCUCUGACGUUAGCGGCGGACGGGUGAGUAACACGUGGAUAACCUACCUAUAAGACUGGGAUAACUUCGGGAAACCGGAGCUAAUACCGGAUAAUAUAUUGAACCGCAUGGUUCAAUAGUGAAAGACGGUUUUGCUGUCACUUAUAGAUGGAUCCGCGCCGCAUUAGCUAGUUGGUAAGGUAACGGCUUACCAAGGCGACGAUGCGUAGCCGACCUGAGAGGGGGAUCGGCCACACUGGAACUGAGACACGGUCCAGACUCCUACGGGAGGCAGCAGUAGGGAAUCUUCCGCAAUGGGCGAAAGCCUGACGGAGCAACGCCGCGUGAGUGACGAAGGUCUUCGGAUCGUAAAACUCUGUUAUUAGGGAAGAACAAAUGUGUAAGUAACUAUGCACGUCUUGACGGUACCUAAUCAGAAAGCCACGGCUAACUACGUG